rnacentral:rRNA from 1 species
CUGAACCAGCCAAGUAGCGUGAAGGAUGACUGCCCUAUGAGUUGUAAACUUCCUUUAUAAAGGAAGAAAGUCGGGUAUGUAUACGCGUUUGCAUGUACUUUAUGAAUAAGGAUCGGCUAACUCCGUGCCAGCAGCCGCGGUAAUACGGAGGAUCCGAGCGUUAUCCGGAUUUAUUGGGUUUAAAGGGAGCGUAGAUGGAUGUUUAAGUCAGUUGUGAAAGUUUGCGG